rnacentral:rRNA from 1 species
AGAGUUUGAUCAUGGCUCAGAACGAACGCUGGCGGCGUGGAUAAGACAUGCAAGUCGAACGCUCAUUCAUCUGCAGCAAUGUGGAUGAGUGGGAGUGGCGCAAGGGUGCGUAACACGUGGGUAAUUUGCCGCGAAGUUGGGGAUAACUCGCUGAAAGGCGAGCUAAUACCGAAUUGUGAUCACCCGGUGGCAUCAUGGGGUGAUUAAAGUUGGGGACCUGCAAAGGCCUGACGCUUCGCGAUAAGCCCGCGGCCUAUCAGCUAGUUGGUGAGGUAACGGCUCACCAAGGCUAAGACGGGUAGCUGGUCUGAGAGGACGACCAGCCACACUGGAACUGAGAGACGGUCCAGACACCUACGGGUGGCAGCAGUCGAGAAUUUUUCACAAUGGGCGCAAGCCUGAUGGAGCGACGCCGCGUGGGGGAUGAAGGGCUUCGGCUCGUAAACCCCUGUCAUUUGCGAACAAACCUUGAAGGUGAAUAACCUGCAAGCUGAUUGUAGUGAAAGAGGAAGGGACGGCUAACUCUGUGCCAGCAGCCGCGGUAAUACAGAGGUCCCGAGCGUUGUUCGGAUUCACUGGGCGUAAAGGGUGCGUAGGUGGUGGGGUAAGUCUCGUGUGAAAGCUCGCAGCUUAACUGCGAAAAGUCACGGGAUACUAUUCUGCUAGAGGCUUGGAGGGGGGACUGGAAUACUUGGUGUAGCAGUGAAAUGCGUAGAUAUCAAGUGGAACACCAGUGGCGAAGGCGAGUCCCUGGACAAGACCUGACACUGAGGCACGAAAGCCAGGGGAGCAAACAGGAUUAGAUACCCUAGUAGUCC